rnacentral:rRNA from 1 species
ACGCACGCUGGCGGCGUGCUUAACACAUGCAAGUCGAACGGUGAAGCGCCUUCCUUUUUGGUGGGUGUGGAUGAGUGGCGAACGGGUGAGUAACACGUGAGUAACCUGCCCCCUUCUUCUGGAUAACCGCAUGAAAGUGUGGCUAAUACGGGAUAUUCUGGGUCUGUCGCAUGAUGGGUCUGGGAAAGAUAUUGUUUCGGUGGGGGAUGGGCUCGCGGCCUAUCAGCUUGUUGGUGGGGUGAUGGCCUACCAAGGCGGUGACGGGUAGCCGGCCUGAGAGGGUGGACGGUCACACGGGGACGGAGACACGGCCCAGACUCCUACGGGAGGCAGCAGUGGGGAAUAUGGCACAAUGGGCGCAAGCCUGAUGCAGCGACGCCGCGUGAGGGAUGGAGGCCUUCGGGUUGUGAACCUCUUUCGCCAGUGAAGCAGGCCUGCCUCGUUUGUGGGUGGGUUGACGGUAGCUGGAUAAGAAGCGCCGGCUAACUACGUG